UUGAUCUGAAUGUAAAUCGCCGCCUAUAGGGUCGUUGUCUAUAAUGCAACACUUAAUCAACUUGGCUUCUGUUAUAUACUGUUUGCUUUUUGUGAAUGCUGGUUUCCGGAAUUUUCGCGUAUCAGCGUUAACGGCUAUAAGAACUGUCACACAACAAAACAUGCGUUCAUUGCGACCAAGCCGCAAUUACAAUCGAUCUUUUUCUAACAACGAUGUCAACAUGUAGCCGAUCACUUCUAACACAGUAACAAAAAUGUAUUCUAGCCGACCUCGUAUGAGUAAAGGUGAAACGUUAUGUUGUUAGAACUGGAUACAUUUAAACGGCCAUUUUGAUCGUCCCGUACGCGUUUUGAAUAUGCUUCUAUUGAGUCAAGUGGCACAAUAAUGCUUCAUUAAGGGGUCCAGAGAAACAGUUAUUGAGGUGCUUUGUCCGGUGCUUUUGAAGCGGAUCGGAAGUACGGCAUGCAGAUGCCACUUAAGCCAAAAAAAAAGAAAAUGAGACCAAAUCCGAAGUUAUCGAACUCGACUAUUUCUACACGCAAGCGUUUCGAUCAUAUUGCGCUGUUUUUUUCGACUCUGAGGAGCAUAUCAUAUUAGCAGCACUCUGUGGAUAGCAAAGGUCGUCGAGGCCUUAUUCCGAUUUCCCGAAGCGUUUUCUUUUGCGCCUUUGUCGACGUACCACACACUCGCUCGAAUUCGGCAAAGCCCUUAUCCGCUGUCGUUGAACAAAGUUCACAGUGAAAUGGCUACGAAUGGUCAGGCUGAUUCAGGCGUUUUGCUGUCAUGACAUGGCCACGAUUGUGACACUGAAUCAUGCUGUUGGCACCUCCCUACGAGAGAUCGGGAACUUGCGGGUAAAAUUAUGCGUUGAGAAUCUGUGAGGUGCCAGGCAGUGAGUUAUCAUUAGCUAAGGAACAGUGAUGUAUGCGGACUUAUACCUGGUUCACCUCGUAACAAACUUGGUUGGGGUAAACUAACACGAUCAAGCCGUGUUUCGGGGGUUAUACGAUGACGAGACUAUGUCAGAUAGCUACAGUUUGUUGUUAGACUUCUGCAUUUUCGAACGAAUGCGCUUGGCGUUCGAGAGUCGUCAUGGGAUAGAUCGCUUUACAUGGUUGAUCAUGUGCCGCACAUUAUGUAAACAUGAGGCUAAACUAUAAAAUAGCCAUGAUGUAUGCUCUGGCUAUUGUCUACGCUUGGCUAG